CCCAGAGCAUGUGCUGCCUUUGUUAGGUCUGUCACGUCGUCCUCUAAUACCCAGCAUCCUGUCUCUCCCUAGGAGGCUCCAUGGAGAUAAUGCGGCUUUGGGAAGCGGCCAUGAUUCUCCUGUCAGGGACCAGUGAGCUACGCAAAAGCUCCCUGUCUUGUCUGGAAGGACGAACUGCAUCCUUGCUGCUGGGGAGAAGGCAGUGCCCUCAGCACUCCCUUAAGUGUCAAAUUCUGCCUCGGAGGGCUUCCUGAGCCAGUGCUGCUUCCAAGGGUCCCAUCCACCCUCAGAGGCCACUCCCAAGCUGCCCAGGCUGUGCAGAAGAUGCAGGAAUGCUGCGAGCAGUGCCACCUCAUGGUACUCGGAGGGAGGUUGUCCGUGGCCUCCUGGAAUGGAGUGCAUGGAGUACAGUCACCUGAGCCUGUGCUGUCCCUGUGACGCAGCCCCACCCACCCUCUGAGGAUGCUGCGCUGGACGAGGAGUCGCCAGCCUUCAGGAGGAAGCACACGGGAGGCACUCAGAGAACGUUUGUGGAAUGAAUAAAUAAAAGCAUAUUUUGAGGGAAUAAAGAAGCAGAAAAACAAAGAAGAAUCUGGGGAAGAUGGGCAUAAAUCUCCACCAAGUGCUGCCAAGGCUUCCCAGGCGAGGCUGCUGAAAAGACCCUGUGGAGGGGAGCGGCAGGACCUGCCAAGGCCUGGGGGAGCCCGCCAGCCUGCUGAGUUCUACUGUACAAACAGUUGGGGAGGGGGCGCUGUCUCUGUUAACUUGAAAUUCCCCGAUCAGUAAACAUGCCAAUUUAAAGUGUAAUUAACUCAGGCCGGAAAAAAUUCAGAUUUGGACUGCUUUUCACAGUUGAGCGGCUGCUCUGCCUGGGAUAAACACAUUUCAAGAGUCUCAGUCCCCGCUUUGCCACCAUCUCCUCCUCUGAUCUCCUUUCCUGCUUCAAAAGACUCCAGAAUCUUCUCGGUUCUCAGAGAAGGCUGAAUCCACCUAUGACCUAGUGGGAGCACCCUGUGCCGAAACUGUUUACCUUCUGGUCCCCGGAGCCAUGGGUCACGACCUGGGCCUCAUGUAGGCCCGCUCCUCAGCAGACCCCAAUCUGCGGCUUCUCCCACCUCACUGGGGAAGAAGGAGAGCCCUGGGGAUGUGGAGAAGCCACCCCCCACCCCGCCACAUCCCCCACAUCUUACAGAAUCUCGAUUGAAUCCCCGGGGGCACAUCCCUCAGCAGGACAGCAACAGUCUUUGCCGCAGCCUGGGGAGGGCUGUGCUGGGGAUGAGCGCCGAGUGGCCGUGGACUAAGUGAAGGAAAUGACCAUGCUCUUCUCCCAGCUGGAUGGCGAGGCCGGGCAGGAACCGCGGAAUUCCUGCUCUUCGUUUUCAAACACUUUGCUGUCAAGCUAUUUGAAUAAUAAAUACACAUUAUAAAAAUGU
rnacentral:lncRNA from 1 species